CGAUGAAGCCCUUCGGGGUGGAUUAGUGGCGAACGGGUGAGUAACACGUGGGCAAUCUGCCCUUCACUCUGGGACAAGCCCUGGAAACGGGGUCUAAUACCGGAUAAUACUGCGGAUCGCAUGGUCUGCGGUUGAAAGCUCCGGCGGUGAAGGAUGAGCCCGGGGCCUAUCAGCUUGUUGGUGGGGUGAUGGCCUACCAAGGCGACGACGGGUAGCCGGCCUGAGAGGGCGACCGGCCACACUGGGACUGAGACACGGCCCAGACUCCUACGGGAGGCAGCAGUGGGGAAUAUUGCACAAUGGGCGAAAGCCUGAUGCAGCGACGCCGCGUGAGGGAUGACGGCCUUCGGGUUGUAAACCACUUUCAGCAGGGAAGAAGCGAAAGUGACGGUACCUGCAGAAGAAGCGCCGGCUAACUACGUGCCAGCAGCCGCGGUAAUACGUAGGGCGCAAGCGUUGUCCGGAAUUAUUGGGCGUAAAGAGCUCGUAGGCGGCUUGUCACGUCGGAUGUGAAAGCCCGGGGCUUAACCCCGGGUCUGCAUUCGAUACGGGCAGGCUAGAGUGUGGUAGGGGAGAUCGGAAUUCCUGGU
rnacentral:rRNA from 1 species